GAGUGAAGAUACGGAAGGUUGCCGUCAUAAAUAUUUAGACGGGUUUUUCCGCGGAGCGAUGUCCAGUUCAAGAAACCGGGCGACAA
rnacentral:ncRNA from 1 species